AUUGAACGCUGGCGGCAGGCCUAACACAUGCAAGUCGAGCGGCAGCGGAAAGUAGCUUGCUACUUUGCCGGCGAGCGGCGGACGGGUGAGUAAUGUCUGGGAAACUGCCUGAUGGAGGGGGAUAACUACUGGAAACGGUAGCUAAUACCGCAUGACCUCGAAAGAGCAAAGUGGGGGAUCUUCGGACCUCACGCCAUCGGAUGUGCCCAGAUGGGAUUAGCUAGUAGGUGAGGUAAUGGCUCACCUAGGCGACGAUCCCUAGCUGGUCUGAGAGGAUGACCAGCCACACUGGAACUGAGACACGGUCCAGACUCCUACGGGAGGCAGCAGUGGGGAAUAUUGCACAAUGGGCGCAAGCCUGAUGCAGCCAUGCCGCGUGUGUGAAGAAGGCCUUAGGGUUGUAAAGCACUUUCAGCGAGGAGGAAGGCAUCACACUUAAUACGUGUGGUGAUUGACGUUACUCGCAGAAGAAGCACCGGCUAACUCCGUGCCAGCAGCCGCGGUAAUACGGAGGGUGCAAGCGUUAAUCGGAAUUACUGGGCGUAAAGCGCACGCAGGCGGUUUGUUAAGUCAGAUGUGAAAUCCCCGCGCUUAACGUGGGAACUGCAUUUGAAACUGGCAAGCUAGAGUCUUGUAGAGGGGGGUAGAAUUCCAGGUGUAGCGGUGAAAUGCGUAGAGAUCUGGAGGAAUACCGGUGGCGAAGGCGGCCCCCUGGACAAAGACUGACGCUCAUGUGCGAAAGCGUGGGGAGCAAACAGG
rnacentral:rRNA from 1 species